rnacentral:misc_RNA from 1 species
GAUGAAUAACGCAGCGAAAUGCGAUAAGUAAUGUGAAUUGCAGAAUUCAGUGAAUCAUCGAAUCUUUGAACGCACAUUGCGCCCCCUGGUAUUCCGGGGGGCAUGCCUGUCCGAGCGUCAUUACAACCCUCAAGCUCAGCUUGGUGUUGGGCCCCGCCGCCCCGGCGGGCCCUAAAGUCAGUGGCGGUGCCGUCCGGCUCCGAGCGUAGUAAUUCUUCUCGCUCUGGAGGUCCGGUCGUGUGCUCGCCAGCAACCCCCAAUUUUUUUCAGGUUGACCUCGGAUCAGGUAGGGAUACCCGCUGAACUUAAGCAUAUCAAUAAGCGGAGGA